rnacentral:rRNA from 1 species
UUGGACGAACGCUGGCGGCGUGCUUAACACAUGCAAGUCGAACGGAAAGGCCCUGCUUUUGUGGGGUGCUCGAGUGGCGAACGGGUGAGUAACACGUGAGUAACCUGCCCUUGACUUUGGGAUAACUUCAGGAAACUGGGGCUAAUACCGGAUAGGAGCUCCUGCUGCAUGGUGGGGGUUGGAAAGUUUCGGCGGUUGGGGAUGGACUCGCGGCUUAUCAGCUUGUUGGUGGGGUAGUGGCUUACCAAGGCUUUGACGGGUAGCCGGCCUGAGAGGGUGACCGGCCACAUUGGGACUGAGAUACGGCCCAGACUCCUACGGGAGGCAGCAGUGGGGAAUAUUGCACAAUGGGCGGAAGCCUGAUGCAGCAACGCCGCGUGCGGGAUGACGGCCUUCGGGUUGUAAACCGCUUUCGCCUGUGACGAAGCGUGAGUGACGGUAAUGGGUAAAGAAGCACCGGCUAACUACGUGCCAGCAGCCGCGGUGAUACGUAGGGUGCGAGCGUUGUCCGGAUUUAUUGGGCGUAAAGGGCUCGUAGGUGGUUGAUCGCGUCGGAAGUGUAAUCUUGGGGCUUAACCCUGAGCGUGCUUUCGAUACGGGUUGACUUGAGGAAGGUAGGGGAGAAUGGAAUUCCUGGUGGAGCGGUGGAAUGCGCAGAUAUCAGGAGGAACACCAGUGGCGAAGGCGGUUCUCUGGGCCUUUCCUGACGCUGAGGAGCGAAAAGCGUGGGGAGCGAACAGGCUUAGAUACCCUGGUAGUCCACGCUGUAAACGGUGGGUACUAGGUGUGGGGUCCAUUCCACGGGUUCCGUGCCGUAGCUAACGCUUUAAGUACCCCGCCUGGGGAGUACGGCCGCAAGGCUAAAACUCAAAGGAAUUGACGGGGCCCCGCACAAGCGGCGGAGCAUGCGGAUUAAUUCGAUGCAACGCGUAGAACCUUACCUGGGUUUGACAUGGAUCGGGAGUGCUCAGAGAUGGGUGUGCCUCUUUUGGGGUCGGUUCACAGGUGGUGCAUGGCUGUCGUCAGCUCGUGUCGUGAGAUGUUGGGUUAAGUCCCGCAACGAGCGCAACCCUUGUUCACUGUUGCCAGCACGUUAUGGUGGGGACUCAGUGGAGACCGCCGGGGUCAACUCGGAGGAAGGUGGGGAUGGCGUCAAGUCAUCAUGCCCCUUAUGUCCAGGGCUUCACGCAUGCUACAAUGGCUGGUACAGAGAGUGGCGAGCCUGUGAGGGUGAGCGAAUCUCGGAAAGCCGGUCUCAGUUCGGAUUGGGGUCUGCAACUCGACCUCAUGAAGUCGGAGUCGCUAGUAAUCGCAGAUCAGCAACGCUGCGGUGAAUACGUUCCCGGGGCUUGUACACACCGCCCGUCAAGUCAUGAAAGUUGGUAACACCCGAAGCCGGUGGCCUAACCGUUGUGGGGGAGCCGUCGAAGGUG